rnacentral:lncRNA from 1 species
CGCGGGCAGGGCCGGGGGCCGGCAGUGUGCGCGUCACUGUCGGCUGCGGCUUCUCUUGUUUUGACAGUCGCGCUAGGCGCUAAACCACGUAUCUCUGAACGAUGAGCAGGUGAAUCCAGAAAUUGGAGAAAACAGAAAACAAGAGUUGUGUUGGGCAUGGAAGCAAAGCCACAUCUGGACUCAGAUUUUAGAUUUUGCAGAGGCUGUUUUGGAGGCUGAUGUAAUAAACCUUUCUUAUUUUCAGAAAUGGCUCUUCUUGUGUUGCAUUUGCAUUAGAC